CUUUGUGGGAAAUGAGUAAUGGGGUUGAGGACAUGCUGCCCCCAAAUACAGCACCUUGGCAUUUGAGAAAAAGCAGAAGCAGUAAAGUCUCUCUGAACUUCUCCCACCCUUUUCUCCUGCAGCUGUUCAUAAAACCUAGGGGAGAUUUUCUGACCUCACCCUGAAGCAGUUCCUAAGAUCCUCACUUUAGAGAUGCCCUCACUAUAUCCAGAAGAAAGAAGCAUCCUUAUCUCCGAACACAAAACGUCACAGAGAAGAAUCUGAACAAACAGGCCUUGCUAAGUUUCCCUUGGUUUUUUACCAUCAGAUCACACUGUUUUGCCCAAUCAUAUUUCUCCACAACUGUCCACUCUUCACUAAACCUAAGAUGUAUAUAUAUAUAUUUCACUGUUUCUUUGGGUUUUCAUUUCCUUAUGAAGACUCAUGUCAUGUAAAACCUACAUUAACUAAAUAUGUCUAAUUUUCUCUGUUAAUCUGUCUUAGGUAAAAGGGACUUCAGCCAUGAACCUAGGAAUGGGGAGAUAAAGAUGUUUUUCCUCCUACAUGGUGAAGAGAAGAGGGUUUGCUAUCACUCUCCUCCCUACCACGUUUCUCUUUUGGAGGCCUGAGUUCAGAACACUUAUAUAGUCAUCACCUUUGAAAUUAGUUUGAAUUUAAUUUCUUACUGAUUUAAAUUUUUUGGAAGUUUCCAUUUAGAUAAAUCUUUUUCACUGGUGGAAUAUCUAGUGAAGGUUGCAGGGGGAUCUAACUGAGAACAUUUUCUUAAUGAUUGUACCACUUCAGAAGAAAGAGAAUAUACUUAAAAUACUAAAAAAUUAAAUACUGGAUUUGUUUUUCCAAUGCUGCAAAAUAAUUAGGACUGCAAAGAAAAAAAAAUCUUGAGGAGGACCCUUUCCUCUUUAUUUAAAAGGAAAAAUAAGUCAAUUUCCCAAAGAAACAGAAGCUUAGAUUUUUAUGGGACCUCAGGGUGCUACUAAUACUACCCUAACACUAUUGUUAUACUCCAAUACAACUUACGCCAAUACUUGACACUACUGUCAAUACAAUAGUCAAAAUUACUAUUAUUUUUAUUCACAUAUUUUAAGCCACACAUACUUAUUUCAGCAUCCAUGUGUGUUUAGGGCUUCUGUAUCUUCUAGGCCAACACUCUCUCAAGCACAGACUUGAAUCCAGACAGUCUGGCUCCAGGACCCAGGCUCUUAAUAAAUGUACUGUACUGUCU
rnacentral:lncRNA from 10 species